rnacentral:rRNA from 1 species
AGCGCAGGCGGUUUGAUAAGUCUGAAGUUAAAGGCUGUGGCUCAACCAUAGUUCGCUUUGGAAACUGUCAAACUUGAGUACAGAAGGGGAGAGUGGAAUUCCAUGCGUAGCGGUGAAAUGCGUAGAUAUAUGGAGGAACACCGGUGGCGAAAGCGGCUCUCUGGUCUGUAACUGACGCUGAGGCUCGAAAGCGUGGGGAGCAAACA